rnacentral:rRNA from 1 species
UACGAAGGGGGCUAGCGUUGCUCGGAAUCACUGGGCGUAAAGCGCACGUAGGCGGAUUCCUAAGUCGGUGGUGAAAUCCUGGAGCUCAACUCCAGAACUGCCUCCGAUACUGAGAGUCUUCGAGUCCGGGAGAGGUGAGUGGAACUGCGAGUGUAGAGGUGAAAUUCGUAGAUAUUCGCAAGAACACCAGUGGCGAAGGCGGCUCACUGGCCCGGUACUGACGCUGAGGUGCGAAAGCCAGGGGAGCAAACGGG